GACGAACGCUGGCGGCGUGCUUAACACAUGCAAGUCGAACGGAAAGGCCCUGCUUUUGUGGGGUGCUCGAGUGGCGAACGGGUGAGUAACACGUGAGUAACCUGCCCUUGACUUUGGGAUAACUUCAGGAAACUGGGGCUAAUACCGGAUAGGAGCUCCUGCUGCAUGGUGGGGGUUGGAAAGUUUCGGCGGUUGUGGAUGGACUCGCGGCUUAUCAGCUUGUUGGUGGGGUAGUGGUUUACCAAGGCUUUGACGGGUAGCCGGCCUGAGAGGGUGGCCGGCCACAUGGGGACUGAGAGACGGCGCAGAAUCCUACGGGAGGCAACGGUGGAGAAUAUUACACAAUGGGCGGAAGCCUGAUGCAGAAACGCCGCGUGCGGGAUGACGGCCUUCGGGUUGUAAACCGCUUUCGCCUGUGACGAAGCGUGAGUGACGGUAAUGGGUAAAGAAGCACCGGCUAACUACGUG
rnacentral:rRNA from 1 species